ensembl:lncRNA novel transcript
AGGAAUCCUUGGUUAGAGCUUCUGCAUCUGCUUGCAGAUGGGAGAAGAGAGUGAGAAAGAAAAGUGGCCAAAUUCAAAUACCUGUGGCACGUUCAAGUGGGAAAAUAAAGAAGAAAAAGCCCAUACCACUUCAGUCUUUUUUGAUUAUAUUAAAUAUCCAGAGUUGAUGAGCUGGAGAAUGCGACUGGCAGCACAGGCCUAGGGCACCAGAGGGCAGACUGUACAGAGACCUGUGAGAAUGGUCAGAACUCCAUGGAUCAUGAUGGAAUGAUCAGGGACACUAUAAUAGCGUUCAUUUUAUGUAUUAAGCCAGAUUUGCACAACAAUUCCAUUGUAAUACAAAUGUAAUCUUUAGAAGUAAUUUUAAAGCAGCAAAUGUAGAAAUGCCAACUCUCAAGUAAAAGAAAACAAUUUUCCUAAGCCAAAUGUCUUUUGUAAGAGAUUUCAAUGGUCAUUUGAUUUUAGUUUAAAGAUCAUCUGACCUUAUGAUUCACCCGAUUCUUAAAUGCACAUCUCAAAUAUAAUUGUCUUCAUUUGGAGUUAAUGUAUAAAAAAUAAAAACAGUGAAAUAA